rnacentral:rRNA from 1 species
GACGUAGGGCGCGAGCGUUGUCCGGAUUUAUUGGGCGUAAAGAGCUCUAGGCGGCUUGUCGCGUCGACUGUGAAAAACCCGUGGCUCAACCAUGUGGUCUGCAGUCGAUACGGGGCAGGCUAGAAUUCGGUAGGGGGAGACUGGAAUUCCUGGUGUAGCGGUGAAAAUGCGCAGAUAUCAGGAGGAACACCGGUGGCGAAAGGGCGGGGUCUCUGGG